GCGACGUACCGGAAGAGGAGGAGCCCUUUCGCCAGCUUUUCAUUUUAUUUCUAAAACAAUGGCGGACAGCACAAGCGGUAGACCACGAAGCUACGGACCGUAAAUAGACGUUUCCUGGAGGUGCUGGUGCUGGUCCUCUGCUGCCCUCCCGACAUCUGCAUCUGGCUCCAAUGACCUCUGGCACCUCACAUCCACCUCCAGGGCCUUUAAGAAGAUGGACCGCCAUCGCGUCUUCAGUAUCCCGAAGGACCUCUCCACAACACAACACCCCUCGCCUUUGACAGGCAGCAGUUGUAGCUUGCUUGGAGGUGGACAGGCUGCCUGAAGGGGGUCAUGAGGCAGAUGGGUUGGGACAGGCAGGGGGAGCCACCAUCCCCAAGGAUACAGUAUCCUGGUGGAGGGGAUGACUGCUCAUAGAAGAUGGGGCUGUUAUUCAGGACCCUGGCAUCAUGCACUGAGCCCGGGGCCUGUCGAAGGCCCUGGCCACCACCCGAUAGGAGGUGGCGCUGGCAAGCCAAAAAAUAAAAACUAGACAGGAGAUCUCGGGGCCCCAACCGUGGUCACAGUCAGUGCCCAGCACAGCCAUGAGGGCGUUGAAUGACUCGGUGAGCCUGAAGUCCACCCUCAUGUCACUGUGGCCAUCACAAUACAACGCCAGCAGUGGCAUUGCAACAUUGAUACGGCAGCGCCGCUGGGACUGGGUGGCUGCUGUACAGUGUGUGGGGAGGGGAAGGGAAGAUUAUAUUAAUAUGCAAGUCAUUUUAUCAAUAAAAUGUUGUCAUUGA